GAUGAACGCUGGCGGCGUGCCUAAUACAUGCAAGUCGAGCGAACGGACGAGAAGCUUGCUUCUCUGAUGUUAGCGGCGGACGGGUGAGUAACACGUGGAUAACCUACCUAUAAGACUGGGAUAACUUCGGGAAACCGGAGCUAAUACCGGAUAAUAUUUUGAACCGCAUGGUUCAAAAGUAAAAGACGGUCUUGCUGUCACUUAUAGAUGGAUCCGCGCUGCAUUAGCUAGUUGGUAAGGUAACGGCUUACCAAGGUAACGAUGCAUAGCCGACCUGAGAGGGUGAUCGGCCACACUGGAACUGAGACACGGUCCAGACUCCUACGGGAGGCAGCAGUAGGGAAUCUUCCGCAAUGGGCGAAAGCCUGACGGAACAACGCCGCGUGAGUGAUGAAGGUCUUCGGAUCGUAAAACUCUGUUAUUAGGGAAGAACAUAUGUGUAAGUAACUGUGCACAUCUUGACGGUACCUAAUCAGAAAGCCACGGCUAACUACGUG
rnacentral:rRNA from 1 species